AAGCUCAGUCAAUAACUGAAGAUUUUUUUUCCUUGGUAGAAGAGACUUCUUUACUACCUAUUGUUAUUUUAGGUACACAGUGAUGCUUGCUUUCUGCAUGUGGGGAGAUUACACUCUACCACACUAUUUGUUUUCAUUAGUGUGGUGAGGGCGGAGAAGUACAUCAGUGUGUAACCCCAGAGCAGGAGUAAUGUGCAGAGGUUUCAGGCCCCAGUUAACAGUCAAGACAGAAGUUAAACUAAGAAGACAGAAGAGCUUCUCUCCUUAUCUUUGUGCUGGCAGUAGUGAGACAUCAUCUGACUUCUCAAAAAACUCUUAGCUCGUUGAGGCAAAGAAAAUGACCUUGCUUUGGCUAUGGACUGGAAAAAAGCAAGCUACUGUUACCUCACAAAAGUCUGACUCACUCAUCCUCUGGAAAGGUGCUUGCCUUUUUCCCCACUGACUGCAUCAGGGGCCUGAGCAACAUGCCCAACUAAGGUGCUGUGUACCUGGAGGCACUUUGUGACAAAACAUGAUCUCUCAGUAUGCUGUGGACCAUUCUUGCCUGUGCCACUUCCAUCAAAGAUAAUUACUUCUUAUUG